CAGCAGCCGCGGGAAUACGAAGGGGGCUAGCGUUGCUCGGAAUGACUGGGCGUAAAGGGCGCGUAGGCGGUUCGUACAGUCGGAUGUGAAAUUCCUGGGCUUAACCUGGGGGCUGCAUUCGAUACGUGCGGGCUUGAGUGUGGAAGAGGGUUGUGGAAUUUCCGGUGUAGCGGUGAAAUGCGUAGAGAUCUGGAGGAAUACCGGUGGCGAAGGCGGCCCCCUGGACAAAGACUGACGCUCAGGUGCGAAAGCGUGGGGAGCAAACAGGAUUAGAUACCCCAGUAGUCCCUGUCUCUUAUAU
rnacentral:rRNA from 1 species